UUUGCAGACUAAUGAUUUUUCUUUCUCUGUUUUUUGGUUUGGCUUAAAAAAAAAAAAAUGUUGGAUUGACACCACAUGCGAGUGCAGCUCCGCGGGGAACAAGAGAGUAGAUGAGUCACACAGAGGGGGAGACCUAGUGUGAAAAAGUUGGAGGCAGGAUUUUGCGAUUUCUAUCAAUGCACUUUUCACUUUUGCAACUCUCUCUCUCUCGUGCGCGCGCGCGCGCCUAUAGCGCAUAUAUGUUUCUUUGGUAAAGUUCAUUAUUCUGGACGUCCAUAGUAUUCCCGCAAACAAACGCCACAUGAUGCGUCGUCAGGUUUGUGAAAGGAAAAGCGAAAUACAUCCAGCGUCGGUUCUUAUUUGCACUCAGCAGCAGAGGAGGAGGAGGAGGAGGAGGAGGAGAGUGGCAGGAUUCCUCCUCACCUCUUGUUUGUAAACUACAUUUCUGAGGAGACGCGGCUGCGAAUCUGACACGGAGGGCAACGCAUGCUGUGUGCUAUACUUUCAUUUAAAUUCAGUUGCUGACACAGAGUCACUGGAGCGUCACUGUGCUGCCGGUGCUUGUGGACACUCGGGCAUUCUGUGUGUGGGCUCAUUGCACGCAGUGAAGCUGCUGCUGCUGCUGCUGCUGCUUCUUCUUCUUCUUCCUCUGCUGCUGCUGCUGUCGCAGGCACAAGUUGGAGAGCGCACAGACUCACACACAGACACACACACACAGAGAGAGAGAGAGAGGAGUUAGUCAGACUUGGCCAGGGUGAGCAACACUUUCAGGACCACGGACAGAUCCUUGGGAGACAUGCUCCACGUGAGCAACAUCUGGACUCACCUGUCUGUGAACACGGUCGCGCGGCGCACACAUUAAAGAGAGCUCAACCGGACCAAGAGAGACAUCUGCGCUUCAACCAGGAAAUAUCAAACAUGCUGUUCCCAGUGAGAGAAGACUUGAAAGCGAUCUGCCCCGAGACUCUGUGAGCCUCUGCUCCUCUCUGCUUCCACCAGCUGAACCCGUCUACCUGAUCCCACCAUGCUGAGUGUUGUGCUCCGCCCCGGGUCGUUGGCCAAAGCUGCCAAUUACUGGCCGCUCCACGUGCUCCUGCUGGAGCUGCUGAUACAAGGAGUCCUGCCCAGCAUGUCUAGAUUACCCCCCACAGCCAAACGUGAGAUCCUGAUGGACGGAGACCUGGUGAUCGGUGGCCUCUUCCCCGUGCACCACAAAGGCGACGGGACAGAGGACUGUGGCAAGAUCAACGAGGAGAGGGGGAUCCAGAGGCUGGAGGCCAUGCUGCUGGCGCUCGAUGAGAUUAACGCCAGCAAUCGCAUCCUCCCUGGACUCCAGCUGGGGGCGCACAUUCUUGACAGCUGCUCGAAGGACACGUACGCUCUGGAGCAGUCGCUAGAUUUUGUCAGGGCCUCGCUCACCAAGGUGCACGAUCCGGGCUUCAUCUGUCCCGACGGCUCCAGACCGAUCCAAAACGAGGUUCCGCUCGCCAUCUCUGGUGUCAUCGGAGGCUCCUACAGUGAUGUCUCCAUUCAGGUUGCCAACCUUCUGCGACUGUUCCAGAUCCCGCAGAUCAGUUACGCCUCCACCAGCGCAAAGCUCAGCGACAAAACCCGCUACGACUACUUUGCCCGCACUGUGCCGCCUGAUUUCUACCAGGCCAAGGCCAUGGCUGAGAUCCUGCGUUACUUCAACUGGACGUACGUCUCCACCGUGGCUUCAGAGGGAGACUACGGGGAGACCGGGAUUGACGCUUUUCAGCAGGAGGCGCGCACUCGCCAAAUCUGCAUCGCCACCUCAGCCAAGGUGAGCCGCUCGAUGAACCGCCAGGGCUACGACAACGUGAUCCGCUCCCUGCAGCAGAAGUCCAACGCCAAGGUCGUGAUCCUGUUCACUCGUAGCGAAGACGCUCGCGAGCUGCUGGUGGCCGCCGCUCGCAUGAAUGUCACCUUCACCUGGGUGGCCAGUGAUGGAUGGGGAGCACAGGAGAGCGUGGUGAGAGGCAGCGAGAGCGCAGCAGAGGGCGCGUUCACUAUUGAACUGGCCUCGUACACAAUCAGAGAGUUUGAAGACUACUUCACCAAACUGAACCCGUACACCAACACAAGGAACCCGUGGUUCAAGGAGUUUUGGGAGCACAAGUUUGGCUGCAGCCUCCAGGAACACGGCUGCAGUGAGCGAAGCCUCCGGGACGGAACUUUUGAGCAGGAGUCCAAAAUCAUGUUUGUGGUGAAUGCCGUCUAUGCCAUGGCCUAUUCACUGCACAACAUGAGGCAAGCCGUGUGCUCCAACACGUCCAAGGUGUGUGAAGCCAUGAAACCAGGUAACGGCAAAAGGUUCUACAAGGAGUUCAUCCUGAAGACCAGAUUUGAAGCUCCUUUCAGACCUGCAGACACGGAGAACAUGGUGCGCUUCAACUCCGUCGGUGACAGCAUCAGCCGCUACAACAUCUUUCACUACCACAAAGAGGACGGCAAGUUCACCUACAGGAAGGUUGGCUACUGGGAGCAGAACCUGACCCUGAACAACACCCUGGUUUCCUGGCGUGGCCUCACGCCGCCCACGUCCCAGUGCAGCGACCCGUGCAGGAAGAACGAAAUAAAGAGCAUGCAACCUGGGGAUGUGUGCUGCUGGAUCUGCAUCCCCUGUCAGCCUUACCAGUACCUGCUGGACGAGUUCACCUGCGCUGACUGCAGCUUUGGCCAGUGGCCUUUGGGCAACCUGACCGGCUGCUAUGAUCUGCCCGAAGAGUACAUCCGAUGGGAGGAUGCCUGGGCCAUCGGGCCUGUGACCAUCUCCUGCCUCGGUAUACUGUGCACCCUGUCAGUCGUGGGCCUGUUCUUCAAGAACAACGAGACACCGGUGGUGAAGGCAAGUGGACGAGAACUCUCCUACAUCCUGCUGCUGGGUGUUCUCAUGUGCUACAGCAUGACUUUCAUCUACAUCACCAAGCCUUCGACCGCUGUGUGCACGUUACGCCGACUGGGCCUGGGCACCUCGUUCGCCGUGUGCUACUCCGCUCUGCUCACCAAGACCAACCGCAUCGCUCGCAUCUUCAGUGGCGUGAAGGACGGGGCUCAGCGGCCGCGCUUCAUCAGCCCGGCGUCGCAGGUGGCAAUCUGCGGCGCCCUGAUCUCCUGCCAGCUACUCGUCGCCAUCAUCUGGUUGCUGGUGGAGGUGCCCGGCGUUCGGAAGGAGGUGGGCCCGGAGAGGAGGAACGUGGUCACGCUCAAGUGUAACAGCAGGGACUCCAGCAUGCUCAUGUCACUCACCUACAACUGCAUCCUCAUCAUCCUCUGCACGGUCUACGCCUUCAAGACACGGAAGUGCCCCGAGAACUUCAAUGAGGCCAAGUUCAUUGGAUUCACCAUGUACACCACCUGCAUCAUCUGGCUGGCGUUUCAGCCCAUCUUCUAUGUCACGGCCAGUGACUACAGGGUGCAGACCACCACCAUGUGUAUUUCCGUCAGCCUGAGCGGCUCGGUGGUUCUCGGCUGCCUCUUUGCCCCGAAGAUCCACAUCAUCCUGUUCCAGCCCCAGAAAAACGUGGCCACACUCAGGGUGACGGCGAACCGCUUCAGCGCCACGGUGUCCACGUCUGCCUCCGCCCCCAGCUCCAGCUACUCCAAAGGAUCGGCCUCCAACUACGUGCCAGCAGUCUGCAACGGCCGUGAGGUGGUGGACUCUACGACGUCCUCUUUGUGAAAUAAAAAACACCCCCAAAAAAUAAUAAAAAAGAAAAGUUCCUCUAUAAGCACAAAGGAGACCAUCCCACCAUCAGUCAUCAAACAGGACCGUGAACAACAGAAGCCCCUCAUGUCAUCCAACAUGCUGCGGAGAGAUAACUCUGUGUGCGGGCUCGUCUGACCGUCAGUGGCCAAGGAACAGGGAGAGCGACGCUGUGGCCGAAGCCCACAAGGACACCUGCAGGAAAACUGAAGACAGUGCAAAUGCAAAAUGAAACAAGGUAACAUUUCUAUAAUAAGAAAUGUCACCAGGGAUAUAACACUGUCACCAAGAAUGAGUAAAAACACACUUUUGAAUGUCAGAUCAUGUUUAACCCUUAGAACACAGAGCAUUUUGGUUGCUUUUUUUCCCCCAUGACUAUGUUUAAACAUACAGUAUAUACAGAGAGCAUAAGAAUGUGUAAUCUAGAGUGUUUUAUUUGUUCUUUUUUCAGCACAACAGAGGCAAUCUGAUAAAAAAACACGUCAUUUUCACCAAUUAUAUAAACACACCUGAGCAAAAAGCGCUCAAAAUGUUUAUAAUGGGAUUGAAUUUGUGAAAUCUGGAAAUACGUCACAGUUCAAAGUUCACUUGGCUCGUUUUUAUGACCAAAAAGAAAAGAAAAAUGGUCUUUUUUGUGACUUUGGCACAAAAAUUGCUAUUUUAUAUCACUUCUAAAAAUGAGAUAUAAAAUGAGUCAUAACUUUGUCUCAACAACACAUAAGAAUAUGUGACCUAUAAACAAUCCUAAACACAACUCCUUAUAAGGACAUCCUUAUCAGGAUCAAGCCGAACAAUGCCGAACUGUAGAUCAGGUAAAAAGACUUCACAAUCCUAAAACGUGGGUUAAUCUCCAACAAUUACCAGGGAAAUGUUUAAAAUCUCAAUAUUUAACAGCGGAGUCUGGUGUAUUUAGUGCCGUGUCAGACGGAGUCUGUGCUCCGGUCAUGGAGGAAGUACUGAACAAACAGUUUUAAAUUAACUGAUUCUCAUGAUUCAGUUACACUGAAAACAACUGCUUUACAAGUCACUCGUUUGUGUCGCACAUAAAAUUAAGUCACGUGCAGUGAUGACUCCGCCUACAUUGAGGAGGUACUAUUUUUGUAGUGGAAAACCAACCUAAACCGUGCCGAGUCGAGGCGGACUGGGACCAUAGGUGGA